GAGAGCGAGAGAUUGGCACCCAGGCGCUGUGUGUGAUUGGCACCCAGGCGCUGGACAGCAGCAGAGACAGAUGUUGGACCCACGUUUCCCACCCCAUCAAAUUCCCUUUUCACGUAAGGUUGGAAAACUCAGUUUGAUUCCCGUGACUGAAUAGGCAACCCCGCCUUUUGUCAGCUAAAUCCAUUUUCUCCUCCCCCUGGCGACAGUUCCUCUUCCAUUUCUGCCAAGAUUCUCCGUUGUCUCCAUAAGUCUCUGCCCAAGCCAUUCUGAAACAUAAACACCUCAGAAGGUGUGGAGACCACAAACCAGCGGUUGGCAAACAGCCCCCUACGAACUUCAGGCUCCUGGAGCCCUGAGGGAAGGGGUUUGAUGAAGACAUCCCAUGUAGGACUGAGUUGUAAGAGAGCCGGGUG